UGGGGAAUAUUGCACAAUGGGCGCAAGCCUGAUGCAGCCAUGCCGCGUGUAUGAAGAAGGCCUUCGGGUUGUAAAGUACUUUCAGCGGGGAGGAAGGGAGUAAAGUUAAUACCUUUACUCAUUGACGUUACCCGCAGAAGAAGCACCGGCUAACUCCGUGCCAGCAGCCGCGGUAAUACGGAGGGUGCAAGCGUUAAUCGGAAUUACUGGGCGUAAAGCGCACGCAGGCGGUUUGUUAAGUCAGAUGUGAAAUCCCCGGGCUCAACCUGGGAACUGCAUCUGAUACUGGCAGGCUUGAGUCUCGUAGAGGGGGGUAGAAUUCCAGGUGUAGCGGUGAAAUGCGUAGAGAUCUGGAGGAAUACCGGUGGCGAAGGCGGCCCCCUGGACGAAGACUGACGCUCAGGCGCGAAAGCGUGGGGAGCAAACAGG
rnacentral:rRNA from 1 species